AAGUCGUAACAAGGUCUCCGUAGGUGAACCUGCGGAGGGAUCAUUACCGAGUGAGGGUGCCCCCGGGCGCCCGACCUCCCAACCCUUUGUUUUGACCAACACCUCAGUUGCCACCUCAGUUGCCUCGGGGGUGACCCGGCCCUCUCGGGUCCGGGGCCCCCGCUGGACCACGACCAUCAACGCUGCAUCUCUGCGUCGGAGUCGAUUGAAUGCGAAUUCAAUCAAAAC
rnacentral:misc_RNA from 1 species